GUGUUGUAUGAAAGGAGAGGAGGUUAGCGCUCCCCUUGACCAGGAUGGAAUUGUCCCUGUGGCCCGCAACACAUGUAUAUACAGCUAAGGUAAUGGCACCUUGUCUAA